CCGCUACCAAGAAAAUUGUCUAGCUCGCUGAUCUGACACCUGGCAGCUGGCUGCCACCCAGUGGCAGAAAUGAGAAAGGCUUAGGGGGUGCUAGUUUACACUUGCUAGUUAGGUGGCUACAAAAACAUUUUGCUAGAAAUUUCAGUUAGGUCACAUGUUGGGGAAGGAUGUGUCUGGCAUUUGGAUUGUUUGUGACUUGGUUGGGUUUAAGUGAAAGACGGUUUGUCUUUCUACGUUUGAAACUGCUGUCACUGUCACUAGCGCACCGCCUCCACAUGGUAGAGAGCUGCAUUCUUGUAGGUAGACAUCACCGUUUUAGCUGAAGAAGUUUGCUUCGUGACCCAUAUGUGCUCCAUUUAUAUGCUACUUCUACUUUUCAAAAAUAGAUUUCCAGCCUGGCAACAGCAGGCCCCUUCAUCUACGGUAAUGUUCCAGCAGUGUGGUAGGACGAAGUUGUGGCUGCGAAUCAUGGCACACCUAACCCUUCGUCUUCAAACUCUACACCAUCAAAAUAAGUAACCAUAAACUGGAGAGGAAAGAGACGAAUACAAACAAUUGAUAAACUAAUGAUUUAGAAGUAAUAACCCAGUAAUAAUAUCAGGGUACUCUUCACUACAAUUCAAUUCAACUGUUGAUUCGCUAAUGACAGAAAUCCAUCUUGAAUGAACUUAAACAAAAGAAUGAAUCUGGCAGGGCACAGUGGCUCGUGCCUGUAAUCCCAGCACUUUGGGAGGCAGAGGCGAGUGAAUCAUUUGGGGUCAGGAGUUUGAAACCAGCUUGGCCAACAUGGUGAGACCCCAUUUCUACUAAAAAUACAUAAAUUAGCUGGGCAUGGUGGUGGGAGGUUGAGGUAGGAGAAUCAUUUGAACCGGGGAGGUGAAGGGUUGCAGUGAACCAAGGUCACACCAUUGUACUCCAGCUUGGACAACAGAGUCCUGCUCCGUCUCGAAAAAAAAAGAACAAAUUCAUAGUAAAGAUGCUGGAGUAUCUCAAAAUCAAAGGUAGGUUGGAUAACAAAAUGAUGAGAGAGUAACGUGUGUUAUGGGGCCUGAUGGGUAGUGAGAGCCUAAACUUGGUCUUCAGCUCUCUUCCUCUUUCUCUCCUUAUGCUUCAGUCUGUGUUGAGUUCAGUCAGUCUCUCUGCAAAUGAGCAUUUCCACAUAGUAGGAAGCAGAAACACUGAAAGCUCCCAUAUUUCAUGUUGGAGAUCCUACCAGUAAGGGGCUAAAUCAUUGCAGAAAACAGCCACGUCUCCUGCAAGUUCACACAGAAAGCAUACACCCAGGGGUCAUGCUUUACCAAGUGAUUCCUACCCCCUCUGCCACUCCUACAAUUAGGUGUUUGCAAAAUCACUGGGAGAGCUGGGGAUGCAGGAAUUAGGCUGAGCUUCCUGGACCAACUUCCAGCUUCCAGUUUCCUGCCACAGUCAGAAAGCCUCUGCUGCUCUCUGUGCAAGUCAAAUGGAUGGCCUAUGUUCUGCUUCUUGAUACCCACACAAAGCUAAGAAUCAACCACUGGGACCUCAGGUGCACCUGUCACAGAAAAAAAAAAAAAA
rnacentral:lncRNA from 1 species